CCUACGGGUGGCUGCAGUGGGGAAUAUUGCACAAUGGGGGAAACCCUGAUGCAGCGACGCCGCGUGAAGGAAGGAGUAUUUCGGUAUGUAAACUUCUAUCAGCAGGGAAGAAAAUGACGGUACCUGACUAAGAAGCCCCGGCUAACUACGUGCCAGCAGCCGCGGUAAUACGUCGGGGGCAAGCGUAAUCCGGAAUUACUGGGGGUAAAGUGAGUGUAGGCGGUUUAGCAAGUCAGAAGUGAAAGCCCCGGGCUUAACUCCGGGACUGCUUGUGAAACUGUUGAACUAGAGUGGGCGAGAGGUAAGUGGAAUUCCUGGUGUAGCGGUGAAAUGCGUAGAUAUUAGGAGGAACACCGAUGGCGAAGGCAGCUUACUGGAUUGUCAAUGACGCUGAGGCUCGAAAGCGUGGGGAGCAAACAGGAUUAGAUACCCCAGUAGUC
rnacentral:rRNA from 1 species